CCUACGGGGUGCAGCAGUGAGGAAUAUUGGUCAAUGGACGAGAGUCUGAACCAGCCAAGUAGCGUGAAGGAUGACUGCCCUAUGGGUUGUAAACUUCUUUUAUAUGGGAAUAAAACGUUCCACGUGUGGGAUUUUGUAUGUACCAUAUGAAUAAGGAUCGGCUAACUCCGUGCCAGCAGCCGCGGUAAUACGGAGGAUCCGAGCGUUAUCCGGAUUUAUUGGGUUUAAAGGGUGCGUAGGUGGAUUGUUAAGUCAGUGGUGAAAGUUUGCGGCUCAACCGUAAAAUUGCAGUUGAAACUGGCAGUCUUGAGUACAGGAGAGGUGGGCGGAAUUCGUGGUGUAGCGGUGAAAUGCUUAGAUAUCACGAAGAACUCCGAUUGCGAAGGCAGUUCACUGGACUGCAACUGACACUGAGGCUCGAAAGUGUGGGUAUCAAACAGGAUUAGAUACCCCAGUAGUC
rnacentral:rRNA from 1 species